rnacentral:rRNA from 1 species
GUAACUGCGAGUGAAGCGGGAAAAGCUCAAAUUUAAAAUCUGGUAGUCUUUGGCUGCCCGAGUUGUAAUCUAGAGAAGUGCUAUCCGCACUGGACCCAUGCCUAAGUCUUCUGGAACGGAGCUUCAGAGAGGGUGAGAAUCCCGUGUGUGGCAUGGACUUCCCUGUGCUUCUGUGAUAUGCUCUCAAAGAGUCGAGUUGUUUGGGAAUGCAGCUCUAAAUGGGUGGUAAAUUCCAUCUAAAGCUAAAUAUUGGCGAGAGACCGAUAGUGAACAAGUACCGUGAGGGAAAGAUGAAAAGAACUUUGGAAAGAGAGUUAAACAGUACGUGAAAUUGUUGAAAGGGAAACGCUUGAAGUCAGUCUCGUCAUCUGGAAAUCAACCUAGCUUGUUUGCUUGGUGUACUCUCCAUCUGAUAGGCCAGCAUCAAUUUUGACCAGUGGAAAAAAGUCAAGGGAAUGUAGCAUCUUUGGAUGUGCCUUAUAGCCCUUCACUGUAUGCAUUGGUUAAGAUUGAGGCAUUCAGCAUGCUGUAUUUAUUUAUGGUUGGGUUUUUUUAAACCACAUUCAUGCUUAGGAUGCUGGCAAUAAUGGCUUUAAUCGACCCGUCUUGAAACACGGACCAAGGAGUCUAACAUGCCUGUGAGUGUUUGAGUGGUAAAACUCGAGCGCGUAAUGAAAGUGAAAGUUGGGAUCCCUGCCAUGGGGAGCACUGACACCCGGACCAGACCUUCUGUGACGGUUCUGCGGUAGAACAUGCAUGUUGGGACCCGAAAGAUGGUGAACUAUGCCUGAAUAGGGUGAAGCCAG